rnacentral:rRNA from 1 species
AAAUUGAAGAGUUUGAUCAUGGCUCAGAUUGAACGCUGGCGGCAGGCCUAACACAUGCAAGUCGAACGGUAACAGGAAACAGCUUGCUGUUUCGCUGACGAGUGGCGGACGGGUGAGUAAUGUCUGGGAAACUGCCUGAUGGAGGGGGAUAACUACUGGAAACGGUAGCUAAUACCGCAUAACGUCGCAAGACCAAAGAGGGGGACCUUCGGGCCUCUUGCCAUCGGAUGUGCCCAGAUGGGAUUAGCUAGUAGGUGGGGUAACGGCUCACCUAGGCGACGAUCCCUAGCUGGUCUGAGAGGAUGACCAGCCACACUGGAACUGAGACACGGUCCAGACUCCUACGGGAGGCAGCAGUGGGGAAUAUUGCACAAUGGGCGCAAGCCUGAUGCAGCCAUGCCGCGUGUAUGAAGAAGGCCUUCGGGUUGUAAAGUACUUUCAGCGGGGAGGAAGGGAGUAAAGUUAAUACCUUUGCUCAUUGACGUUACCCGCAGAAGAAGCACCGGCUAACUCCGUGCCAGCAGCCGCGGUAAUACGGAGGGUGCAAGCGUUAAUCGGAAUUACUGGGCGUAAAGCGCACGCAGGCGGUUUGUUAAGUCAGAUGUGAAAUCCCCGGGCUCAACCUGGGAACUGCAUCUGAUACUGGCAAGCUUGAGUCUCGUAGAGGGGGGUAGAAUUCCAGGUGUAGCGGUGAAAUGCGUAGAGAUCUGGAGGAAUACCGGUGGCGAAGGCGGCCCCCUGGACGAAGACUGACGUUGAGGCUCGAAAGCGUGGGGAGCAAACAGGAUUAGAUACCCUGGUAGUCCACGCCGUAAACGAUGUCGACUUGGAGGUUGUGCCCUUGAGGCGUGGCUUCCGGAGCUAACGCGUUAAGUCGACCGCCUGGGGAGUACGGCCGCAAGGUUAAAACUCAAAUGAAUUGACGGGGGCCCGCACAAGCGGUGGAGCAUGUGGUUUAAUUCGAUGCAACGCGAAGAACCUUACCUGGUCUUGACAUCCACGGAAGUUUUCAGAGAUGAGAAUGUGCCUUCGGGAACCGUGAGACAGGUGCUGCAUGGCUGUCGUCAGCUCGUGUUGUGAAAUGUUGGGUUAAGUCCCGCAACGAGCGCAACCCUUAUCCUUUGUUGCCAGCGGUCCGGCCGGGAACUCAAAGGAGACUGCCAGUGAUAAACUGGAGGAAGGUGGGGAUGACGUCAAGUCAUCAUGGCCCUUACGACCAGGGCUACACACGUGCUACAAUGGCGCAUACAAAGAGAAGCGACCUCGCGAGAGCAAGCGGACCUCAUAAAGUGCGUCGUAGUCCGGAUUGGAGUCUGCAACUCGACUCCAUGAAGUCGGAAUCGCUAGUAAUCGUGGAUCAGAAUGCCACGGUGAAUACGUUCCCGGGCCUUGUACACACCGCCCGUCACACCAUGGGAGUGGGUUGCAAAAGAAGUAGGUAGCUUAACCUUCGGGAGGGCGCUUACCACUUUGUGAUUCAUGACUGGGGUGAAGUCGUAACAAGGUAACCGUAGGGGAACCUGCGGUUGGAUCACCUCCUUACCUUAAAGAAGC